rnacentral:lncRNA from 1 species
GAUAGGCCAGAAUACUCGCAUGGUAUAAGGAUGCGCAAGUUUAGCACUUGGACACUACACAUUGAUGUCUGAAGUCUGGUGAUUCUAAGGCCAUGAAGACGGCUUCUGAAUUGCCACCCUCACUGAGUCUUUAAUUUGACGGACGAUUUGGCAUGUUUUCAAAGCCCAGAGGAACGUCAUUGCCAAGACACCACUCUCCUGACUCCACACAGCUGAUCUCAGCUUCGCAUCAUUCCAUUUGAUCUUCAUACUUCCUCACGUUACCGAGAGACAAAACUGUUUUUAGAAGAAGUAAUUUACAUUAAGGGGUUAAAUC